GACGAACGCUGGCGGCGUGCUUAACACAUGCAAGUCGAACGGAAAGGCCCUGCUUUUGUGGGGUGCUCGAGUGGCGAACGGGUGAGUAACACGUGAGUAACCUGCCCUUGACUUUGGGAUAACUUCAGGAAACUGGGGCUAAUACCGGAUAGGAGCUCCUGCUGCAUGGUGGGGGUUGGAAAGUUUCGGCGGUUGGGGAUGGACUCGCGGCUUAUCAGCUUGUUGGUGGGGUAGUGGCUUACCAAGGCUUUGACGGGUAGCCGGCCUGAGAGGGUGACCGGCCACAUUGGGACUGAGAUACGGCCCAGACUCCUACGGGAGGCAGCAGUGGGGAAUAUUGCACAAUGGGCUGAAGCCUGAUGCAGCAACGCCGCGUGCGGGAUGACGGCCUUCGGGUUGUAAACCGCUUUCGCCUGUGACGAGGCGUGAGUGACGGUAAUGGGUAAAGAAGCACCGGCUAACUACGUG
rnacentral:rRNA from 1 species